UCGAUUAUUACCGCCAUUAGCGAUAUGGCGGGUUAGCCGACGACCAAACAGAAACCCGCCCUCGAGGCGGGUUUU
rfam:Pseudomonas pseudoalcaligenes KF707 = NBRC 110670 strain KF707 ctg1666, whole genome shotgun sequence.